rnacentral:rRNA from 1 species
AAUAGAUACCCUGGUAGUCCAUGCCGUAAACGUUGGGCACUAGGUGUGGGGAUUGUUCCACGAUUCCUGUACCGUAGCUAACGCAUUAAGUGCCCCGCCUGGGGAGUACGGCCGCAAGGCUAAAACUCAAAGGAAUUGACGGGGGCCCGCACAAGCGGCGGAGCAUGCGGAUUAAUUCGAUGCAACGCGAAGAACCUUACCAAGGCUUGACAUACGCUAGAUCGCUCCAGAGAUGGGGUUUUCCUUUGGACUGGUGUACAGGUGGUGCAUGGUUGUCGUCAGCUCGUGUCGUGAGAUGUUGGGUUAAGUCCCGCAACGAGCGCAACCCUUGUUCUAUGUUGCCAGCACGUAAUGGUGGGGACUCAUGGGAGACUGCCGGGGUCAACUCGGAGGAAGGUGGGGACGACGGUCAAAGUCAUCGAUGCCCCUUAAUGUCUUGGGCUUCACGCAUGCUACAAUGGCCGGUACAAUGGGUUGCGAUACUGUGAGGUGGAGCGAAUCCCUAAAAGCCGGUCUCAGUUCGGAUUGGGGU